GGGACGAACGCUGGCGGCGUGCUUCACACAUGCAAGUCGAGCGGAAAGGCCCUUCGGGUACUCGAGCGGCGAACGGGUGAGUAACACGUGAGUAACCUGCCCCUAACACCGGGAUAGCCCCGGGAAACUGGAAUUAAUACCGGAUAUGACCUCAGUCGGAAUCGGCUGUGGUGGAAAGGACUCCGGUUAGGGAUGGACUCGCGGCCUAUCAGCUAGUUGGUAGGGUAAUGGCCUACCAAGGCGACGACGGGUAG
rnacentral:rRNA from 1 species